UACGAAAGGUGCAAGCGUUACUCGGAAUCACUGGGCGUAAAGCGCACGUAGGCGGACUCGUAGGUCAGUUGUGAAAUACCUGGGCUCAACCCGGGAACUGCAGCUGAAACCGCUUGUCUUGAAUACCUGAGAGGGUGGGGGAAUACCUGGUGGAGAAGUGAAAUUCGUAGAGAUCAGGUGGAACACCGGAGGCGAAGGCGCCUGCCUGGCAGUGUAUUGACGCUGAGGUGCGAAAGUGCGGGGAGGCAAACAGG
rnacentral:rRNA from 1 species